GUGCCAGCUCGCCCAGGCGGCGCACGCCGCACGCCCGGAACACGUCCUCCUGCGUGCGCGCCCCGUCCAGCACGGCGCCGAAGCGGAACGCUACGUCUGGGCCCCCGCCUGGUGGACUCACCUGGGGAGGAGGGUGCCCAACCAGCCGACCUGUACGCACCUGAGCACCACUUGGAUCGGCGUUUCCGGCCCCUCUGUCCCCUGUUCCAGGCUCCGCGCGUGGUCCCUGUGGCCACAGUAGGAGUUACCAUGCCUGUGCUCAGCGCAGUCUGCUGGGCACGGUGCUCAAGGACCUAAGAUGCGCGAUGUGCUUACCCGUCGGGAGACCCACGUUCCUCCAUGUUCUGCCCUACACACCGCGUUGGCUGCGCCCUGAGUUCCUUUCCUUCCAAUUAUUACCCUGCCUGGGCCACAGCAGGACUGGCUGCACACACCUCACACACUCUCACCCCCCCCCACCCCCGCAGCCAUCCAUCCGGAAAAGCUCCAGCCAUCCCAGGGCUAGCUAGUUAAAGAUUUACCCACCCCCACAUACGCGGUGGGGGAAAAUGCCAAGCUAGGGCCCCCUACUAGGAGGUUUUGUAGUCUGAGGAUCCCUUGUUCUUGGCUAGUCCUAUCAGGAGGGACCCAUGGGCCCACCCAGACCAGCCUUUUUUGUCACACAUAGGGAAACAAAGCCUGGGAUAAGAAGAACUCAGUCAAAGCCACAAAGCCAGCAUGAGGACCAGGCCCUCCUUGCUGUCUCCACAGACCCUCCCUUUCCAAAUAGCUUGGCCUUUUCAUAGUGCAGAGCCCAGGGGCGGGCUGAGGGAGACCUGGCCCCCAGACAGCAGCUUACCAGCGUCGGGUUAAACAUUGGUGUACCUGCCUGUGCAAUGUCAAGGCCAAGCCAAGGCGAGCACAGUGUUAACUCCCUGUUCUGGCUUAAGGGAGGGAGCCGCAGAGAUGUUUGAAGGUGCUGGGCUGUCAGCUGACCUGCCCCUUCCAGGUCUCAGUCGGGCCGGGGAGAUAGGUAGGAAAGGCUCAGGGUGCUGGAGCUUUUGUGGGGGAGCACAGAGGCCUUUAGGAGCUGGGGAGAUUAAGAAGUGAGGGGAAAAUGAGAUUUCGAGGCAGAAUACACUUCAGGAAGGCUUUGGGGCUAGGCUCAGCUCAUCCAGGAGUUUGGACUCAUUCCCCAGGAAACCACUAAUGAUGAUAAACAGGGAAGUGACUCUGUCACUAUUUCUUUUUAUUCUUAUUACAUUUUUAUUGCAAAAGAUCCAUUUUAUAAGUAGUAGAGAUACUUUUGAUUACAAGUCAGUUUAGUUCCAAGUCAGUUAAUACAGAUAUAUUGUUUAUAUGUUUUAUAAACUUGUUAAGAAGAAGUUAUUAGCUCAUCUAAUAUAAUAAUGGCUCUGAAAAAUGUGAGGCUUGUUCACAUGUAGAAUUCAUUAGUUAUAUUUUCAAGAACCCAUGAAGUUAUGUCCCCAACACAUCAGCUUUCUUUAUUUUCAUUUUGUAAAAGGUUAAACUCUAUAUCCCCUCAACCCACAUCCCUGUUCCCCUUCCCCUGAGGGCCCUCCUCCAUGGGGCUGUUGCUAUUCACUGUGGGGUCAUGAAGGCGUCACUCUGUGUGGGGCACUGUGCCUCAGGAUAUUCCUAUCCACUCUAUGGCUCUUUCUGCCCCCUCAUCUACAGUGUUCCCCUCUUCUACCACUUUUCCUGAGCCAUGGUGGGCCUGUUAGAAGUCUGAGUCAGUGUUGAGUUUUCUGUGGCCUCUGAGUUUCUGCAUUGAUGGAUUGGAUUGUUCAUGUUGCCUGUCUCCAGCUCCCCGCUGCUGAUUCUUGAGCUAGCAGUGAGAGCUGGAUUUGAGUUUCUGCUUCCUCUUCAGAGUCUCCUGUGAUAUGUUAGACAUGGGAUGUCUUGUGGUGGCCCGACAACUAUCUUGGAUUUUCUUAGUAUUCUCUGUCAUCUGUAAAGUAAAACAGAUUCUCCAACCAAGAGUGGGAGCAGCUUGGAUUAAAGAGGAUAUACAUGCAUAGUUA